rnacentral:misc_RNA from 1 species
GAUGAAGAACGCAGCGAAAUGCGAUACUUGGUGUGAAUUGCAGAAUCCCGUGAACCAUCGAGUCUUUGAACGCAAGUUGCGCCCGAAGCCACUAGGCCGAGGGCACGCCUGCCUGGGCGUCACACGCCGUUGCCCCCCCAUCUACUCCUUCGGGAUUGCGGGGGGGCGGAUGAUGGCCUCCCGUGCGCCUAGCCGCUCGGUUGGCAUAAAUACCAAGUCCUCGGCGACGCACGCCACGACAAUCGGUGGUUGCGAAACCUCGGUUGCCCGUCGUGUGCGUUCGUCGCGCAUCGAGGGCUCGAAAAAAUGCUCGGCUCCGGCUGGGCUUUCAACGCGACCCCAGGUCAGGCGGGGUUACCCGCUGAAUUUAAGCAUAUCAAUAAGCGGAGGA